CAUGCAAGUCGAACGGCAGCGCGGGAAGCUUGCUUCCUGGCGGCGAGUGGCGGACGGGUGAGUAACACGUAGGAAUCUACCUUGUAGUGGGGGAUAACCCGAGGAAACUCGGGCUAAUACCGCAUAAUUUCUUCGGAGCAAAACGGGGGAUCUUCGGACCUCGUGCUACAAGAUGAGCUUGCGUCGGAUUAGCUAGUUGGUGGAGGUAAUGGCCUACCAAGGCGACGAUCCGUAGCUGGUCUGAGAGGACGAUCAGCCACACUGGGACUGAGACACGGCCCAGACUCCUACGGGAGGCAGCAGUGGGGAAUAUUGGACAAUGGGGGAAACCCUGA
rnacentral:rRNA from 1 species